UCAGGCACAAGUUCUACAGAGAGCUCAGGCACAUUGAUUUGCAUUUCUGGGUCAGCAUGAUUUCGCUUUCAUUUAACCCUUGUACUGACCCUUGUUUCUCAACACUUUGGCUCUUCCCAUCCUCUGAGAACAAGCAGUGUGCUUCACCUGCAGACGUUUGCUUUUCUAUAGUGAAGAAGGAAUGCGGUCAUAUGAAUUUCAAGGAUAAGAAAGCAAUCUACAUGCAUCCAGCAAAUCUAAAGGACAAAAGAAUUUUUUUCAGUCACUUGAAGCAUGGUAUGUUCUUCCUUCACUUCACAAUGCUUCCUUUGAGAUGACUUUUUGUGUUGUUGUUUUUUUUAAUGAAACCAAAAUAAUCUUGCCAGUAGGGUCAUGGAAAAUUUUACCAACUCCAUUUGUUCAUAGUUGCCCAUCCCUGCUCAUUUCUUUUCCUUCUUUAUAGACAAAAACUUUAAAAAAAAAAAAAAAACCUUUCCUUUUUCUGUUAUAGAAAGUUAUUUCUGGAAAAAAGCUUCUAAAAAUUUGAACAAUAUAAAGGCAUAUAAAUUUGAAAAAGACAUACUCUGUCUCCCACUGCCCUUUCUUCCUGCCACAUUUGCUUUUUACCUGUUGGUAGAACCAGAGUCUGUUUUCUUUCUUUCUUUCUUUCUUUCUUUCUUUCUUUCUUUCUUUCUUUCUUUCUUUCUUUCUUUCUUUCCUUUCUUUCUGAUUAAUGCAUUGAGAGAGAGAGAGAGAUUGAAUCCUCAAGCAGAGGCCCUGCUGAGUGCAGAGCCCAACACAGGGCUCCAUCCCCAGACCCUGAGAUCAUGACCUGAGUGGAAACCAAGAGUCCGACACUUAACCAACUGAGCCACCCAGGCGCCCCUCACUUAGGGUUUCUAUGAAUCCUUGACAAGUGUAGUAAAGACACAUGGAGAACUGGAUAUCAACUCUCCUUUUUCAACACUCAUGUUUCUAGAAGAUGCACAAGGUGAAGGAGGGAGAGAAAACUGAACUAGACCAAAGAGAGAUGAGAAGAAAGAUGCAGCUCCUUUCUCCUCCCUUGAAGGUCAGCUCCUUAAGGAUGAGGUUUCUCUAUUAACUGUCUUUAUAAUUUAUCAGGUUAGGAAAAACUACUACCAAGUAGUAGUGCUGAAUGAAUGAAUAGGAAUGAAAAGCAGGAGGAGUGCCUGGGUGGUUCAGUGGGUUGUGUCUGACUCCUGAUUUUGGCUCAGGUCAUGAUGUCAGGGGUCAGGAGAUGGAGCCCUGUGUCGACUCCGUGCUGAGCAUGGAACCUGCUUAAGAUUCUCUCUCUCCCUUUCCCUCUGUACCCCCUCCCACAACCAGGCUUGCACACGUGCUCUCUCUGUCUCUCAAAAAAAAAAAAAAAAAAAAGAAAAGCAGGAAUAAACUGGCUAAGGUUAGGCA
rnacentral:lncRNA from 12 species